rnacentral:misc_RNA from 1 species
CUGAAGAAAUGGCUAGGGUUGAGCUGGCUCCUCGGAGUAUGUGCUCGCACUGGUCGCUCCUUCUCACUUUCCCACUGUGCACCUUUUGUAGGCUUAACGACGAACUUCUCAGUUGCGCUGCAACUGGUUUCGAGGGCUCUCGCUGUAUUGCGUGCCCUUGACAAGUCGUUAGCCUAUGUCUCACAAACUCUUUAAAGUCUAUGAAUGUCUCUUGUUGGUCUUUAGACCGAUAAACCUAUA